rnacentral:rRNA from 1 species
UACGUAGGUGGCGAGCGUUGUCCGGAUUUACUGGGCGUAAAGAGCGCGCAGGCGGUCGUUCAAGUCGCGUGUGAAAGCCCCCGGCUCAACUGGGGAGGGUCACGCGAUACUGAUCGACUCGAAGGCAGGAGAGGGAAGUGGAAUUCCCGGUGUAGUGGUGAAAUGCGUAGAGAUCCGGAAGAACACCGGUGGCGAAGGCGGUCUGCUGGGCAGUAGCUGACACUGAGGCGCGACAGCGUGGGGAGCAAACAGG